CCAGUGACAGCUCUUCUUGACCUUAAUGGAAGGGUCAUCUUCCAAGAAUGAUCUUUUGGGCAGUCUUAAGAAUACCAGUCUCGUGGUCUGUGAGGUGGUGCAGCAGAUAAAGCGCUUGACUCUCAAGCGUGAGGUCCUGAGUUCAAUCCCCGGCAGUACAUGUACCAGAUGAUGUCUGGUUCAUUCUCUCCUCCUAUCUUUCUCAUCAGUCAAUCAAUAAAUAAAAUCUUUAGAAAAAAGAAUACCAGUGUCUAAUUUGGGGUUUGUCAAAGAUAGCAUGCGCUUUUAAAAAUUACAUUUAUUCCCACCUGCAGGAGGAGGAGUUUCACAAAUGAUGAAGCAAUGCUGAGGGUGUCUAUUUCUUUCUUUCUUCCUUCCUUUUAAAAAAGAUUUUAUUUAUUGAUUGAUGAGAAAGAUAGGAGAGAGAAAGAACCAGAUGUCUCUCUGGAGAGGAGAGAAAGUGAUCUCUGCUUGAGAGUCUUAACGCAUCAGCCACUGCGCCACCUCCCGGGCCACUCUGUCCAUUUCUAUUUCCCCCAUCUCAAUUUCUCUUUCUCUAUGCAAAAUAAACAUUUCCUCCCCCAAAAUAAAUAUUUAAGAUAAAUAAAAAUAAGAAGAAAGUCUAUCUUAGAGCUAGCCCACCAGGGUUAAAAUAACUGCCAUUCCCUAUCUGCACACAAUCAAGCAAGAGUCUCACUGCACCUCUGUUUCCUCACCUCAAGCUGUCGUACAGGGGUCAGGGGAUGGCCCACUCGGUAGGGAGUGUGUCUUGCCGUGCAUGUGGUUUGGGGUCAAACCCUGGAACCUCAUGGGAGUGCCACUGCAGUGAGCUCUUUGCAUUUGCAGGCAGUAAACUGGUAUCAUGGGGGAAUGAAAAGUAGUAAAUCAAGGAAUCAGUACCAUGCCAUAUCUUAGAGGAGUUACGUCAAUAAGGGACACUUGUUUGCUUUGUAUAUGGGACCUAGAAUAAGACUUAUUCUUCAAGAGUUUGACGGAUGUAUGUUCAAUAAACUGCUGUUGUAUAACCCUCAA